GUUUAACAGUUUGGCCAUUUUAUGUUUGGUGCUUAACUGUUAUCAUUUUUAAUAAGCCAACUAUCAUUGUUUUUAUUAUAUUAUUACAAAUGAUAACAGUUAAGCACCAAACAUAAAAUAGCUAAACUGUUAAAAUUUA
rnacentral:miRNA from 1 species